rnacentral:lncRNA from 1 species
GGAGAAGUAGGGUGACAUUGAGUUCUGUCUGUCCUCUCGUGUGCGUGUUGAGUUAAGUUGAGUCAGAGAAAAGGUGAACCCUAAAAAUAGUAAAGUUCGAGUUCUGUUAUCUCUCUCGUUUUCCUCUUUCAUGCUAGAUCUGUAAAUCAUCUUCUUCUUCUCGUUUUUAUAUUAUUUUCCUCUUUCAUGCUAGAUCUGUAAAAAAAAAGAAGAGAAUUACGCUGACAUAUUGUUUUUUUAUUUUUUUUUAUUUAUUUUCCUCUUUCAUGUUAGAUUUGUAAUUCUUCUUCUUCUUCUUCUCAGAUUUUAUUAAAACACAAAUUUAGAUCUGAUAUCAUAGGGAUAUGCCAUCAACCUUCUUUAGUGUAAUUUCUCCAUCCAGAUCUGCAAUUUGUUUUUUUUAAACUUGUGAUUGAUAAAUAAACAUAUUUCUUCAAAUAUUUGCUGCAAUUGAUGCCUCCUUUGCUUUUAUGUGGAUUUGUUUUUAUCUAAGUUUUGAUGUGAAUCUGUUUUCAUAGAAAAUAUAUGUUACAAUUUUUUAAAAAGGAAUGAUAGACAUCUUUUGUGUAAAUUGCUGUUAUCUUUCAUAUAUUAGAAUUAGAAUGGCCUCUCACCAAAUUCCUUCGCAGUAAUGAAUCUAAUGAUGUGAAACUUAUCAUACCUAUCUAUCUAUCUAUCUAUGGUUAGCUUGUAAAUUAGUGUUACAUAUCAUGAGAUAAGCAUCAUAUCAUAUUAAUCCAUGAAGCCUUUUGUAUGUAUUGUGUUAACAAUACAAGCUUGUUAUUCAAUUUAUGACGUGUAAUUUCUUAUAUAGGUUUGGGAUCUAUCUCACUGUGACGGGUAGAUUAACAAGACCAUGCAAUUCAAAACCAGGAAGCAAAUGCUUAUUCAAAUGCAAUUCACUGGUUAGAAAAUUGAGGAAUGGUUGAAAAACAGAAGUUCUCUUGUCUACUCGGUAGCGGCCUUGAUCGGCUCAAUCGCCUCACUGGUUAGCAUAAGGUAUUGUAACUUCACAUAUCACAUAUAUUUAUAUAUAAACAAACACAAAAAUAUAAUACCUAAACAAAAGUUAAUUAAUAUUAUCAUUUCCAAAUGUCACAAACAGUCACAAAAUAGUUACAUUCCAAAUGUCACAAACAUGAUGUUACACUUCAAUUUUCCAGUUCAAUUUGAAUCGUUUCUCUUUGAAGCAAAACAUGUUUUUUGAUUUGUACACCUGGUUGAAAAUUCUUCCUUCACGUUGUAUCAACACUUCCCUUUGAGUGGUAAUUCCAACUUCAUUUCCAGGCUGUUUGGUAAUUCUAAACUGAAACACAUUUUCUUCAAUUUUUGCAAAAUGUCCCAUCUGAAUACAAAAUCCAAGUUCAUGCUCAUUGACCCAUCCCACAUUCCCUUGCAUUCCCUUACGUUUACUGUAACAUAAAAAAAUUUAAAAUUAACAACAAAUUAUAAUAUGAAUUUGAGAAAUUGAAAUAUUUAUUAUUUUAUUAAAAAAAUUCACUUACACUUGAAUACCAAUAUCGAUCCGUCCAAAAUCAACCCACAGAGCUGUACCAAGGGUUGUUGGAUUUCCGAUACACAAAUCUGUGGUGAACUUCAUUAUUUCCCCAGCUCUUAAACCUCCGGAAACCGUCAAGCUACUUCCAUGCUCAUACAUAGCUUGUAUCAAGCCAUCCAUGGGUGUGUUAAAGGGGGGUACCAUUGGUAUAUUUGUUGGAAUUGGAAUGUCUUUCCAUACAACAGAUUCCAUUCCAAUUGACUGAAAUUAUGAUUCAAAUUAUGUAAAUCAGAUUGAUAAACUUUGAUUAGGCUACAUCAACAACAAAAAGCGCAGCUGCUUUGUUAACCCUAAUUAACUUAAAUUAAUUUCCCUCCAAUUGACAUUAGGUUACAUUAACAAAAAAAACGCAGCUGCAUUAAAAAAUGCCCCAACAACAUCAAUCAAUGCUGUUUAUAGAGCCACUAAGAUGACUACCCUAACUAUCUAUUAAUUACAUGGUCUGCCACUAUACAUAAUCAGUUUGAAUUAGAAACCUUUGCUUGCCUUAAAAAUAUGAAAAAGCAGUUAUACCCUACAUUAAUGCAAUUUACAACGCGUGAAAACCAACGAGGAAAAACUAUACUUCAUACUCUCUUUUCAUCUUUCACGUUCUGAAUAUUUUUACUCCUUUCUCUCUGAUUUUUCACUCUGUUUCAAUACACAACGAAAGAACACAGUUUGUGCCUUCCACAGCGGUGCCGUGAAAAUUGCCGUCGCCGUCACACCACUAAACCGUUUGUGCUCUUAACAUCGUUGUUAUGAUAUCAUGAUAUCACUUUAUGUUCUUGCCCUUUUUGCAAUUUCUUUGAGUUUGUGUUCUUUUCCCUCUCUUCCUUUUCCUUUUCUCUUCUUCAAUUGUUCAUGUGUAGUUUAUUGUUUUCAAUGUUUUGCUUGAAUGAUUAUAAAAAAUGUUAAAUUUACUAAUUCAUGUUUUUUAUGGUUAACUAUCGUUUAAUAUAAAUAUUGUUUUCCUUCGUUUUGUUGUUGUUAGGGUGAUCCGUAAUGUUUUGUGAUUAGGAUUUCAAGCACAUAUAUGAUGUUAUCAACGCAAGGAAAUUGAAGAUAUUGAUCCCUCUCAAUCAAGGUAUUGGUGUUUUGGUGGAGUAAGUUUCAGCUCAAUUUCAAUUAUUGGGUUUCUCAAUUUUAGGUUUUGUUUAUGGUUUUUGUUUCUUUGCUGCUUGUUCUUCUAUGUUUUUUUUCUGUAUCAUUCUUGCUGAUUUUUUCAUCAUCUUCUUGCAAAGAAAUUAGAAGCCUCAUCACAUUUGAGGUAUAAUUAUUUAGAUAAAAAAUAAAUUCUUCUUAUAAGUUACAAACAAUAGAAGUUUUAUCAUGUCAUUAUCUUCUUGAUUAUGAAUGAUGACAAAUUUAAUAAGUUUGAUUGAUGCAACCAGGCAAAUUUAAUACAUGUUGCUGUGUUUUUAUAUUGUUAUCCCAAUAUCAGUUUUAGCUAUUAAACUAAUUGAUUUUAGGGGUGGAUAGCUUAGUAGGGAUAGAAUCAUGGGAUUAAAUGCAUUAUAGGUGUUUGAUAAAAUGGCCAUAAGAAAAUUAUGGUAUUUAGCAUCAUAUGUUUUUGGUAGGAUUAGAAGACAAAUAUUUUAUAACAUGAGUUAGAUUGUGAUAAAUAAAAUAUAACUAUAUGUCAUGGACAUUUAUAAUAUGCAUCAUUCUUAACCAUGCAAGUGUUGUCCUUAACUUAUAUGCUUAAAAGGUGGUUCUUAUCAUAAAAAGACAAUUUCCUAUUUCCUUUCUAGGUUACACCCUUACAUUAUGGUAUGGAUUUACCAUCUAUGCCCUCAUUUGUACCACUAUUUAACUAUUAUCAAUUACCAAUGAUAUUGUGUAUAUAAUCUUCACUCUUUGCUAUCUACAUAUUUUAUACCAUUUUGUUCGGUGAUUGAUUGAACUUCAUUUAUUUUGUCUUAGUAGCGACAACAUAUUUUGGAGGAAGAUGAGUAUGUUAACUAAAAGUCUCAAGCCAACGACAAUGAAGAAGAUGAGGUAGAUUCGUUCAUUAUUUUCUUUAAUUUUUCCCUCUUCAAAAUUGGUUGCUUUCAAUGUUCAUUGAUUAGUCUUCCAAACUUUAUAUUUCUUUGUUUUCUUGAUUAUUUGGUUUUGGAAAUUAUGAUCGUAAUCUUUUAAAGUUUAAAUACUUUGAUUGAACUCACUGCUCCGACUUCCCAUAUACAUUGUCUCUUAUUUAUGUACAAAAACAAGUCAUGAAUCAUUUUCUUAUGUGUGUACAAAAACAAGCCAAUCCUUUUUUGGUCUCUCCUUUUCACAGAUCAAAUGUUAACAAUGGCUAAUCAGUGUUUUCCUAUUUAAUUUUCAGAUUGGAAGCUUACCGGCAACACUUAAACCAAUUUUCUUAACUAGCAUUCCAAAUCUGGUGCCAUAAAUGAAGCCGACACCAGUCAUGGAAGCGACAGCCAUGAAUCU